AUGUGGCCCUGGACUUCCUGUCCAAGCACGCUGGAAUCAGUAGGCCUUCUGGCACUUGUCCUGUGGGUAUCCCUCCAGCUGGCAAUCUGCCCUCUCGCUGGUGCAGCCACCAGCACAGCUCCAUCUGUCUUCCCUUUGAUUUCCUGCUGUGAUCCCAACUCUGAAGGCAUAGGUUUCCUGGGCUGCCUUGUGUCUGGCUAUUUCCCUGAGCCAGUGACUGUGAGCUGGAGCCCUGAAGUUCUGGAUGAGAUGAUCACAACUUUUCCAGCUGCCUAUGAUUCCACAUCUGGGCUCUAUACCACUACCAGCCAACUUACCAUCUCAGACUUCAGUUCCCAGGAAUUCACCUGCAGCGUGGACCACUUACCUACUAGCACCAAAAUCAAAAAACCUGUAUCUCUCCAAGCCUGUGGCCCUGUGACAAUCAUCCCACCCACAGUGAAGCUCUUCCAUUCAUCCUGUGACCCACGAGGGGAUGCUCAUUCCACCAUCCAGCUUCUCUGCCUUGUCUCUGGCUUCUCCCCAGCCAAUAUCCAAGUGACUUGGCUAGUGGACGGACAAGAAGCUGAGAGCCUGUUCCCCUACACAACCAGGCCCAAGCGGAAAGGGGGACUAACCUUUUCUCUACAAAGUGAACUCAACAUCACACAGGGCCAGUGGAUGUCAUCUAAGACCUACACCUGCCAUGUCACACACAAUGGCAGCAUCUAUGAAGACAGUGCCCAGAAGUGUUCAGACACUGACCCACGGGGCAUCAGUGCCUACCUCAUUCCACCUAGUCCCUUUGACCUCUAUGUCAGCAAAGCACCCGUGCUCACAUGCCUGAUAGUGGACCUGGCCAGUGGAGAGAAUGUGAAGGUUUCUUGGUCCCGAGAAAGUGGGGGUAUCGUCAAUCCAAGCUCACCAGUGAUGAAGGAAAACUAUAAUGGCACUGUCACAGUCACCUCAACCUUGCCUGUCCAAACAGAUGACUGGGUAGAAGGUGAAACCUAUACCUGUCGUUUGGAACACCCUGACUUGCCCGUCCCCCUCCUCAGGACAAUCUCCAAGGCUCCAGGCAAACGCAUUGCCCCUGAGGUAUACGUGUUCCCUCCACCCCAAGAGGAAAAAGGAAACACUGUCUCCCUCACCUGCCUUGUUCGGAACUUCUUCCCUUCCGAGAUCACUGUCCAAUGGCUGUGUGAUAACAAGGAUGACCACAGCGGACAUCAUACUACCACCAGGCCCCACAAAGACCACGGACCUGACCCUUCCUUCUUCCUCUAUAGCAGAAUGAUUAUCAACAAGUCUUACUGGCAGGGAGGCCAUACCUGUACUUGCCGUGUGGUGCAUGAAGCCCUACCUGGCUCCCACACCCUCAACAAAAGUCUUCAUUAUUCAGCUGAUGUGGGUCAUGAGGACACAUGCACAGAAAUAGAGAGUGAGGAAUUGGAUGGACUUUGGACAACCAUCUAUGUUUUCAUCGUCCUCUUCCUUCUCAGCGUCUGCUAUAGUGCCACAGUCACACUGUUCAAGGUGAAGUGGAUUUUUUCUGCAGUCCUGCAAUUGAAACCUGGUACUCUCCAUGACUACAAGAACAUGAUCCAGCAGACCACCUAG